CCAGAAGAAGAAGAAGAAAA
rnacentral:miRNA from 1 species